AUUCGUGCGCGCGCUGGGCCUAGUUGCGGCUCUGGGCCGGAGCUCAUCAGCGGUUCUGCGGCGCACCCCCCCCCAACCAGGGAGCCUCCGUCCGUCAGCCGGGCCACUCCGGCAGCGAGAACGCGACCGCUUUCUGUCCCGUCCCUUCCCGCGAGCGCCCAGGCGGGACCCAGCGGAGGCUCUGGGAGCCCCAGCCCCUCCCCAGGGCGUUGGGGACGCGCGACCCUCUCGGAAAAGGGCAGGGAAGGGCGCGAGGUGGGGCGGGGUGACCCCCAGGAGGGCAGGGCUUUUGCUGAAAGAAUGCGGUGCAGAUCAGAAGCAGGAGGCCGCCACGGUAAAAGAAGCAUCUCUCAGGUGUCUGCGCCCGAGCUGUGUUGGACCCGGGGGCAGAAGCCCGCCCUGCGCGGGUGCGCCAGGCACGCCUGACUCUGCCUUCUGCUGUUGGUUGCCGUAGUGUUUCCAGAUCAUUCAGUGUUCAAAAAUUAGUCUAGAUGCCACCUCUUUCGCAUCCUGAUACCUGAACGCAGUUGCACCCAGGACCCCAGAGUCUUCCAGCCUGGGGAAGCCCCUUUCUUCUCUAACCAUGGGCUUGGGGAGCUGCCAGGUGCAAAGUGUCAGGAAGGGAAGGCUGUGUUCUGAACGCUGCCCAACUGGCACUGGUUCUCCCUUGGGCCACGGCUUGAGCCACUGCCUCUUCAAAGAGGAUAAAGGUGCACUGAUGGCUCAGUUGGGAGCAAUUGUGGCUGUGGCUACCAGUUUCUUUUGUGCAUCUCUCUUCUCAGCUGUGCACAAGAUAGAAGAGGGACACAUUGGGGUGUAUUACAGAGGCGGUGCCCUGCUGACUUCCACCAGCGGCCCUGGUUUCCAUCUCAUGCUCCCUUUCAUCACAUCAUAUAAGUCUGUGCAGACCACCCUGCAGACAGACGAGGUGAAGAACGUACCUUGUGGAACUAGUGGUGGUGUGAUGAUCUACUUUGACAGAAUUGAAGUGGUGAACUUCCUGGUCCCCAACGCAGUGUAUGACAUAGUGAAGAACUAUACCGCCGACUACGACAAGGCCCUCAUCUUCAACAAGAUCCACCACGAGCUGAACCAGUUCUGCAGUGUACACACGCUUCAAGAGGUCUACAUCGAGCUCUUUGAUCAGAUUGAUGAAAAUCUCAAACUGGCUUUGCAACAGGACCUGACCUCCAUGGCCCCUGGGCUGGUCAUCCAAGCCGUGCGGGUGACCAAGCCCAAUAUACCCGAGGCAAUCCGCAGAAACUACGAGUUGAUGGAAAGCGAGAAGACAAAGCUGCUCAUUGCAGCCCAGAAACAGAAGGUGGUGGAGAAGGAAGCUGAGACAGAGCGGAAGAAGGCCCUCAUUGAGGCAGAAAAAGUGGCUCAGGUUGCAGAAAUCACCUAUGGGCAGAAGGUGAUGGAGAAGGAGACUGAGAAGAAGAUUUCAGAAAUUGAAGAUGCUGCAUUUCUGGCCCGGGAGAAGGCGAAGGCUGAUGCUGAGUGCUACACUGCUAUGAAGAUAGCCGAAGCAAACAAGCUGAAGCUGACCCCUGAGUAUCUGCAGCUGAUGAAGUACAAGGCCAUUGCUUCCAACAGCAAGAUUUACUUUGGCAAAGACAUCCCUAACAUGUUCGUGGACUCUGCAGGCGGUCUGGGCAAGCAGUUUGAGGGGCUGGCUGACAAGCUGGGUUUUGGCUUAGAAGACGAGCCCUUGGAGGCAGACCCUGAGGAGAAUUGAAAAUUCUUUUUAUACAACCUCAGCUGACACUUACAGAGAUCUUUAUUUUUUAACGAUGAACCAGGAUGCCCCUCCCGCUCAUACUACCUUCUUUGACUCUCUCCCACAUACUGUGGUGAAAAAAGAAGAAAUGGACUUAAAUCUAUUCCCCUUCAUGGGAAGGGAGGGCUGGGAUUGAUGAUUUUGGGUUUUAUUCAGGAUUUUCCAAGGAAAAGUCACCUUGGUUGAAUGUUUCUCACUCAUUAAACUCUGCAGAAGUGAUUCAUAUUCAGUACUGCUUUUAAUCACUUUUUUAAUAUAAGGAAAGAAUGUUUGCAAGGAAGCCAAAGUUUGUUAAUUUUUAUAUGACUAAAAUAAAAUAAAUUUGCAGGGAGGAAAAAAAAAAUCACUGAAAGAAUUUUAGCAAUAUACUGAUCCAAAAAAGCAGAUGUUUUAUAAAUGAUCUGUCGCAAUUUCUAUGGGUCCAUGUAUCUUUUAACACUGAUAACUUUACCACUUAUAGAGAGUAAAUAGUGAAAGUAAGAUGCUCGUAUUUACUGACGUAUCUAAGUUUGAUUGAGGAUAAAAUGUAUCUUGGCUGAUGUCUGCUCUGUGCCUGUGAUCCUAACCACCACUUCUUUAGUUCUCCUCACUAGGGUUCCAGACACUGUUUCUCUUGUUUCCUUAUAAAAGAGGUGGUAGCCAAUCAUUUUGUGUUUGUAUUUCAGCUCUUGUGAAGGCUGGUGAUGGAACAGUCAAACUAGUUCUACUUUCAAAGAGCCCCAAGGGCUUAAUGACCCCCUUUGUAACUAAGAAGUGAUUCUUGUUAUAUUAAUUAACUCUAAAAAUGAUAUGCUGGAUUAAUUUCCUUGGCUUGAGAACAGGAAGAAUUGUUUUGGACAACACUAAAGGCGUGAAUUUAUGUCUUAGUUUUAUUUUCAGUCUUGCUAAAUAAAAUGUCUUUGUAUUUACUUUUUUAUUAAAGUGAAAUUUAGCAAUAGUUAAUAUUAGGAUAAGUAAGAAAUAAAACGUCCUGCCUAGUGAGUUAAGUACAAGAUUGCCCCAAAAAUAUAUUCAGAUGAGUAUCAUCCCUAUUAUCAACAUAGAAACAAUAACUAGUUAAUUUAUGAACAUGGCGUAAUUCUUGGUAGGUAUAUAGAGGUCGUCUAUCAUUGUAAAGAAUCCACACACCACUGCAAUUCUGCUCCAAAGGGCAGAGAUACUUUGAAUUAACCCAAAACUCACUGUGUAUCAAUUUAGUGAAAAAGUCCCUGUCUCCACUCUGGAAAGCUGUCCAGCCUAAGGUUGCCAAAUUCAACACAGGGUACCCAGUGAAAUGUGAAUUUCAUAUAAACAAGUAAUUUUUAGUAAAAAUAUGUCCCAAAUAUUGCAUGAGACAUACUAAAAAAUUACUCGUUGUUUAUAUGAAAUUCACAUUUCACUGGUUAUCCUGUAUUUUUAUUUGCUAAAUCUGGCCACCCUAGUGCAGGCUUUCUCAGGUUUUUUUAAUGGUGCUCAGAAACUUCCUCUAUUUGAGAGCCUACUACACAAACAACAUGAACUUACAAUUCAUUAAUUAAGUAAUGUAGUUACUGGAGUUAAGACUGCCAGAGUUCAAAUCUAUGCUCUACCACUUCCGAGUUGUAUGGUCUUGAAUAAAUUCUUUAACCUC